rnacentral:lncRNA from 1 species
CAGGUUAGAGUACCUCAUAGAAUCCUUGCUACGAAUAAAAUAUGGAACAGCAGAAUGCCAAACGUGUAAUGAACACUUCAUGAAGCAGUUGAUAGGUC